GUCCACGCCCUAAACGAUGAAUACUCGGUGUCGGGUCGCAAGAUUCGGCGCCUAAGCAAACGCAUUAAGUAUUCCACCUGGGAAGUACGAUCGCAAGGUUGAAACUCAAAGGAAUUGACGGGGGCCCGCACAAGCAGUGGAGCAUGUGGUUUAAUUCGAUGCAACGCGAAGAACCUUACCUGGGCUUGAAAGGCAAGAUUAUAAUUCCUGAAAGGGAGUUACCCGCAAGGGGUCUUGUACAGGUGCUGCAUGGCUGUCGU
rnacentral:rRNA from 1 species